rnacentral:rRNA from 1 species
AAAUUGAAGAGUUUGAUCAUGGCUCAGAUUGAACGCUGGCGGCAGGCCUAACACAUGCAAGUCGAACGGUAACAGAAAGCAGCUUGCUGCUUUGCUGACGAGUGGCGGACGGGUGAGUAAUGUCUGGGAAACUGCCCGAUGGAGGGGGAUAACUACUGGAAACGGUAGCUAAUACCGCAUAACGUCGCAAGACCAAAGAGGGGGACCUUCGGGC